rnacentral:rRNA from 1 species
UGGGGAAUCUUGCGCAAUGGCCGCAAGGCUGACGCAGCGACGCCGCGUGGGGGAUGAAGGGUUUCGGCUCGUAAACCCCUGUUGCCCGGGACGAACGGCUCUUUUCGAGGAGCGUGACGGUACCGGGUGAGGAAGCACCGGCUAACUCCGUGCCAGCAGCCGCGGUAAUACGGAGGGUGCGAGCGUUGUCCGGAAUCACUGGGCGUAAAGGGCGCGUAGGUGGCACGGCAAGCGUGCGGUGAAAGCUCGGGGCUCAACCCCGAGUCGGCCGUGCGAACUGCUGAGCUGGAGCACUGUAGAGGCAGAUGGAAUUCCGGGUGUAGCGGUGGAAUGCAUAGAGAUCCGGAAGAACACCGGUGGCGAAGGCGGUCUGCUGGGCAGUAGCUGACACUGAGGCGCGACAGCGUGGGGAGCAAACAG